rnacentral:lncRNA from 1 species
UUUUUUUUUUUUUUGUCUUUUUGCCAUUUCUUGGGCUGCUCCCUCGGCAUAUGGAGAUUCCCAGGCUAGGGGUCGAAUUGGAGCUGUAGCCGCCAGCCUGUGCCAGAGCCACAGCAACACGGGAUCCGAGCCGCGUCUGCGACCUACACCACAGCUCACGGCAACGCCAGAUCCUUAACCCACUGAGCAAGGCCAGGGAUCGAACCUGCAUCCUCAUGGUUCCUAGUCGCAUUCGUUAACCACUGCGCCACAAUGGGAACUCCAACUUCUUAUUGAACUACAUAAAACAUAGCAAAGUUUCCAAAGAUGUUAACAAAUAGGUUUAAGAGAGACACGGAUCGAUACGUUUUCCGAAGAAACAGAAUUAGAUAUGCCCCAAACUAGAACUUGGAUGGCCAGAGCAUUGGAAGAGAUUUCUGCUCCACUCUGGGAUGCAUUGGGAGGAAAUCCUGGGUGCAUCAUGGGUUUUUAAGUUGUAUCACCCAAGAGGUCAUUUAUAUGGAAACCAUGGAGCAGAAUAUGUCAAGGAUUAGAAAGUCAAAUGAGCAAGAUGCCUCGGGGCAGCCAGGUAGAGGGCGGCUGGGGAGGCAGCGCAGUAACCUCUCUAGUUCUCUGGUACCCUCAGUGUUUCGUUGCUGCCCAUCUCCUCAAUUAAAGAAUAUUUUAAAUUAAUUACACAUGUCGUAGUUAAUUGUGUGAUACACCACAACAUUUUAGAGAGGUUAGUUCUAGAAAAGGGAGUUAAACAAAGAAACAUCAUUUGCUAUUACUCUAUCUUUGUUUUCUCUUCACACUUACACACACACACACACAGCACAUGCAUUGGUACUGCACUAGAAAUGUAAUAGUUUCUCUUAAAUAAAAAAUGUGUUCACCUGAGGAGAACUGAAACCAACUCAAGAACUCAAGGUGGGGGGGGCGUGACACCACUUCUCAUCUCUCCGAUACUCCUUUUCCUCAUUUUUCUCCGUCUCCAAAAUUCCGAGCUGCUCACCCAUCCCAGAUUAUUCCUGGGAGGCGAGGGAGGCCGGGGGGGUGCGGGGGGAGCCUGUGCUCCUGCUGUGGGGAUGCCUCAUGCGCAAACUCGUGGUGUGGAGAAGAGGGAAGAUGUGGGGUAGAACUGGAGGGGAGGGAGUGAAAAUAGCAUAACCCACACCAUGCCUCUCCCUUGAUUUAUUUAUUUUUUUAAUUUUUAGUUUUUUUAUGCCUCGAAUGUAUCACAUCUGUCGUUGUAUAAUGAUCGUAACAAUCCAGUUUCACAGGCUUGCCCCUGCCUCUCCCUUGCCAGUGGCAGUUCUUCCCCGGCCCCAGGGCAGCCGCCUGCCGCGAUAGCCCAAGCAGAGGGAGCCUUGACUUUCUCGGGAGGACUGCUUUUUCCCUGGCCAAGGGGAGGGUGGCUGCAUAACGUGCCUGAAACUAGGUCUCCCAGAUGCCCUUGACCUGGACUUUCAGUGUGGAGAGAAGGGACCCCCAAAUGGAGACUGGUUCGCAGUCAUUUCCCGGGCAGCCGUGCGGAGGGAAAUUGUGUUACUCCCACCACCUGACUUCCUCGAGCCUCUCGUGGGCUUGUGUAAAGCCGAGUCUCAGGUCCUCCUUCUGUUCCGUGAGCAGCUCUGUCUCCUUCCAAGACAUUCAUCUGUUUGCUUAAGAUGUUCAGACUCGGCCUCUGGUAUUUCCAUCCCAGGAUUUGGACUGAAAUAGCUUCUCAGAUGCUGUGGGCUUCCGUGUGCAAAGCUAAAGGUCAAAAUGUGGGAACUGGGGAGUCGUGGGGCGAGGGGUGUCAACCAUUUACUAAGGCACCAAACUCAGUUUUUCUCAAGUCUUUCAAGUCCCAAAUGUUGGCUUUCCAGCAGCCCUCGCAAGCCUGCUAAGGACAAGGGAGACCGUAAACCCGUUUUCUCGGGGGUCAUUUGGUUGAAAGCACCAGAUUCUCUAGGUCCUGCAAUUCCGAUAAUGGCCACAGAGGCUAGAAAAAGGUCCCUGAUGCUGGUCUAGGUGGGUUCGUUUAAGUCAGUUUUGUAAGCGGUAGCUCCAAUGUUGCACAGUUAUUAUGUAACAGAUUAUGAUGGAAAAGCAGCCACUGCAGUGAGGUCAAUAGGCAUUUAAAAAAUCACUGCGUGGGAACCUUUUCAAACCACAACCCUCCAUUAGGAGCCUACAUUUCCCAGAAGAGCCUCAUUCCUUCAUUUAGGCAGCAAUUUUAAAGUCAGCCGGAACCACUGUUUCUGCACGACAGCAACUAAAAAAAAAAAAAAA